rnacentral:lncRNA from 1 species
CACCUCCACUCUAUCUCUCUCAAUCUAGUAGAAACUAGAAGAUCUAAUUCUACUCACAUUGGAUGCUAAGCCCUAAGUCUAUUUAGAGGAGAGGUAUUCCUUCGAGGGCUCCUCUCAACUCUAUGAUGAACUUGUUCUCCUCCAGGGGCCAGGGGGUCUGGUUUUAUAGUCCCCUCAGGUAAACGUGGGCCGUUGGAUCAAACCGACAUUGAUUGAACGGUUAUCCUUGAUCCUUUAGGUCGGUGGAGCGUGAUCUGCGAAAAGAGUUCUAAUUGGAGUCCAAAGGGGGGCGGGCGCCCUGGGCCAGGCCCCGUUCAGCCUCCGCUUCGUUCCCGUGGCUUCUCGAGUCUUCUAGAUGGUAGAAAAUUGCGGGUGCGUUGAUAUCUCUAUGUAAUCCCGACAUGUGGGCCUUUCUUCCUUAUUUCCUGAUAACCCCCAAUAGAAACAGAUAAACAACAAUACUCGUGGAAUUCUGUCAGAUCAAACCCUAAUUCUAGGUGUUGUUUGCAUAUUGGUCCUUUCUCUUGUUUAUUUGAUAAUUAAAAUUGAUACUUAAGAACCGUCAACAAAUACCCCCAUACUUAGGCUUUUACUCGUCCUCGAGAAAAGGAUGGUUAAGAAAAAUAUCUUGGGUUAAAACAUUAUAAAACAUUCUCUUCAUACCUGUAGGUUGUUGUAAAAAUUCACUGAGUAGCAUAGUCAGGGAAAUAUAUGAUCAAGAGUAGAGAUCCUUUCUUCCUUUCAAUCUUGUUACUUGGAGUUUUUGUAUAUUUUUGAAAAGAACGUUAGCAUACCUUUAUCCUCAUAGGUUCUCUCAGAUCACUCAUUUAUCUUUUGUUUUUCUCACUGAGGCUGUUUUAAUUUGCAAAAAUUCCCAAGCAUACUUACUUGCAUUAAUUGCCUGAUCAAAACAGGAUCCGAGGAGAGGAAUGCCAUACUCUUGGAUCAAAGACUUUGGAAAUUAAAAACUUGUCAACUCUUGCUGGCAUAUUGCUUAUUAGAGGGACCAUGAGCUAUCAUUUUCUUUUUUUUUCUCUCUUUCUCUUUUUAAGUGGAUACCGAGGUACCCCUAAUUCUACUGCCGGACACUUGUCCAUUUUUUCUGCGAGGUUAUCGAGCACUUGUUCCUUUUUAUUUCCUCGAAAUAUCCUUAUUUUUGCAUAGCCCAUGCCUCUAACGCAAUAAUACUUCGGAAGAGUGAAUCUUUCUGAAUAAGUGUCUUGAUCUUAGGAGCAUGAUAAAUCUCUCAACAAGGGUCUAACUCAUUUUGAACAAACUCAAUACAGAGUAGAUAGCUGUUAUAAUUAUCAUGUUAAUAUUUUCAGGUUUAUCAGGCAUAUAAAACACUGAGGAUGGUAGCUAGAAUUUUUGAAUAAAUUCUCCAAGCAACAAUGAUAUCAAGAAUAAGAAACUCAUACUCUACCAUCUCACAUUCCACAAUGACUUAAGUAACAGAGGGUUUUAAAAUGAUUUUUUAAUAAUUGCAGGUUUUCAGGAAAUAUCAUAGAGUGAGAUUAAUCAUGAUUAGAAACAUUUUAAUCUUUUUAAUUUAUCAUGUUAGAGACAAUAUUCUGCAUAGUCCAAGAUAUAUGUGUAUGUGUAAAGUGAAGUGUGCAGAGUAUGUACCUGAAUCGUGGAAUGGUGUAGUCGAAGUGUGUUUGGCGUGUCAAGGGAUCUCCCCCAUACUUGUUUCCUGCUUUCUUGCAUAAAAAUAAAGUAGAGACACACAAGACAUAAUAAUAAUAAUACUCUUUAUUAAUCUUGAGGCAUUUAUUACAAAUGACUAGUAGCAAACUGACGAUAAUAGUAGCAAACUGAUGAUAAUAGUAAAAUCUAAACCGAAUUUAAAGAUAAAUAACUAAGAUACAUUGCCUCAAGAUCUAAUCUAGAUAACUUAGCGGUGCUCUAACUCCUUGAUCUUCUUAUUGGCACUAGCAAGAUCAUGCCUAAGGCCUAGUAUAACGGUGUUGUGGUUAGAGAGCUGCCUAGUGAUAGAAUUAACUGAGGACUAGAGGUCUAUGACGACUCUGUCUAGCCUGCGAACGUCCUCAUCAAUAUCUACUAUAGUCUUGCGACGCUUAGGAGGUGUCUCGAAAGCAUUGAGAGCGUGCUUCGAGGCUGCCUUUGGAGGGAUGAAAUAGACUUUGGCUGCUCUAAUCCCUUCAAAGUAAGGCCUCUCCUCCUCCGUAGUGUAGCGGAUGCUGCUGAUCUCGCCGCUCCGGUUGGUCUUGACUCCAACUACCCUCUCAUUGGGUCUUGGUGGAAGGAUCCUCGUGCCGGCUGGCACCUCGAUGGUGGUCUCCUUCUUGGCUGACGGUCCCUUGAGAAGUAGGGGUUGUGGCGGUGCGGUGAGAACUGCUUGAGCAUGGUAGGAUUGGGUGGAGCUGCGCUGGCGUAAUGGCAUGGCUUCUAGCUGUCGCUCUGUGUUUGCUGGGAUGAGAGCAUGGGCGUCGGGGUCUUCCUUAGGCUCCAUGUUGAGGUUGAAGGGGACGACUUCCCAAUCAUCGUGGAAUUUUUCGGCUAUUGGAGCAGUGAGGGACUAAACAAGCUCUAAUUGAAGAAGAGGAGAAGGCUUGGGUGGAUUGGUGUUUGAAAACUGACGUCAGGGGUCUGUUUAUAUAGGUGUCAAAAAGUGCAUCUAGGGGUUGUUCCCUUCGAUGGGCGUGCGAAACUUUCCAUCUGAAGGAUUAUUUGGAUUACCAUAAGUGUGUUUUCCAUAACGGAGGAAAUCAGGACCGAGAGGGGGCAGGAGCUGGGCGCCCGCCCUCUUCCUCAGGGUGCCUGCCCUGUGCCUGGCCCCUCUGUGGGCCCGCUUCCACGAGCGUGCUUCUAGAUGCAAACUUAAUUAGGAAAAUAUAUGUGUGACCCAAAAACAUCAGAUUAAAAAGGUUGGGCUCUAAAUCUCCAUGGGAAGGUAAAAAUGGAUUACGUCUAUCUCUUCUAAUUCUUUAUUGGGUUCUAAAAAUAAUUUAAGACGUUGACCAUUUACCUUGAAUAACGUACCUUCGUUAUUUUGAAGAGUGAUAGCUCCGUGGGAUGAUGAAUUAAUUACAUUGAAUGGUCAUUCCCAUUUACUCCGGAGUUUUCCAUGCCCGAAAAGCUUCAUCCUGGAAUUAAAAAGUAAUACCUUAUCUCCGGGUGUGAACUCCUUCUUCUUGAUCCUCUUGUCAAGCCACCUUUUGACUCUUUCUUUGUAGAUCGUCAAAUUGUGAUAUGCUUUCUCUCGUCAUUCUUCCAAUUCUGAUAGUUGCAUUCUUCUAUGAUCUCCAGCAAUAUCUAGGUCCAUAUUACAUCUCCUUAUGGCCCAGUGUGCUUUGAAUUCCAGUUCAACAGGUAGGUGGCAAGUCUUCCCGUACACCAAUUGGUAUGGGGACAUUCCAAUUGGGGUCUUGUAUGCUGUCCGGUAUGCCCAGAGUGCAUCGGGUAACUUGUCUUUCCAUGCCGUUUCCAUUUCAUUCACUGUCUUCUAAAGAAUAUUCUUGAUUUGCUUGUUGGAAGUCUCUACUUGGCCACUUGUCUGAGGAUGAAAGGGGGUAGCGACGUUGUGACGGAUUCCAUGUUUUGAUAGAUAUUGCUUGAAGCGUUUGUCGAUGAAGUGUGUUCCUCCAUCACUUAUCACUACUCUGGGGACUCCAAAUCUUGGAAAUAUAAUUUCUUCAAACAUCCUCUUUGAACUGAUGUUGUCGGCAUGCUUGCAAGGUAAUGCCUCUACCCACUUGGAGACGUAGUCAACUGCCACCAAGAUGUACUCACACUUCUUUGAUGGGGGAAAUGGACCCAUGUAAUCUUUUCCCCAGACAUCAAAGAGCUCAAUCUGAAGGUUGUUGGUGAGUGGCAUGGCAUCUCUUGUGUUUAUGUUUCCGUGCCUUUGACAUGGCCCAUAUCUUCUGAUAUAUUGCUUCGUGUCUUCAUACAUUGUAGGCCAGUAGAGUCCACACUGCCAGAUCUUUGAAUGUGUACGGAAUGCUCCAUAAUGACCUCCAUAUGGUGAUGAAUGACAUCUAUCGAUGAUUUUCCAUCCUUCCUCAGUGGUCACACACCUCCUGAGUAAGCCAUCAGAGCAUACUCGGAAGACGUAUGGCUCAUCCCAUAUAUGUGAAUGACUUUCUUGAAUAAGUUUCUUCUUGUUUGCUCCUGGUGGUGCAUACCCUGAAACCAUAAAAUUAACAAUAUCUGCAUACCAGGGGUCAGACCUGUUAAUCCCAUAGAGCAUGUCGUCUCGGAGUGAAUCAUUGAUGGGGGUUUCCUGUGGACUCUUAAAAUACAUUCUAGACAAGUGAUCAGCAACAGAAUUUUCUACUCCCUUUUUAUCUUUUAUUUCUAAAUCAAAUUCUUGUAGUAAUAAGAUCCAUCUAAUCAGGCGAGGUUUAGCAUAAUUUUUAGUGAGCAAAUAUUUUAGUGCAGCAUGAUCAGUGUAAACAAUUAUUUUAGCUCCAACUAAAUAAGAUCUAAAUUUAUCAAUGGCAAAGACAACUUCCAGAAGCUCCUUUUUAGUGGUUGCAUAAUUAAGUUGAGCUCCUGUCAAAGUUUUACUGGCAUAAGCAAUUGCAUGAUGCUUCUUAUUUUUAGUUUGUCCCACAACAGCCCCCAUAGCAUAAUCACUAGCAACACACAUAAUUUCAAAAGGCAACGACCAAUCAGGGGGUUGAAUAAUUGGUGCAGAGAUGAGUGCAUUCUUUAAUAAAUUGAAAGAUGUUAGGCAUGCAUCAUCAAAUUUCAAAGGAGCAUCCUUGGCUAGCAAAAGAGUAAGUGGUCUAGCAAUGAAUGAAAAAUCUUUUAUGAAUCUACGAUAAAAACCAGCAUGGCCAAGAAAGCUUCGAAUUCCUUUUAUAUUCACAGGUGGAGGUAGUUGUUCAAUUACUUCAAUUUUAGCUUUGUCUACCUCAAUACCUCUUUCAGACGCUAGGUGUCCCAGCACUAUUCCUUCCCUAACCAUGAAAUGACAUUUUUCCCAAUUAAGGACUAAGUGCUUUUCUUCACAUCUCUGCAAAACCUUGUCUAAGUUUUCAAGACAACUAUCAAAAGUUUUUCCAUAAACAGAGAAAUCAUCCAUGAAAACUUCCAUAAUCUCCUCAAUCAUAUUAGAAAAUAUAGACAUCAUGCAUCUUUGAAAAGAAGCUGGUGCAUUACAUAACCCAAAAGACAUUCUACGGUAAGCAUAAGUUCCAUAUGGGCAUGUAAAAGUGGCUUUGCUUUGAUCAUCGGGAUGGAUCGGGAUCUGGUGAUACCUUGAAUAUCCAUCUAAGAAACAGAAGAACGAAUGGUUCACUAAUCGCUCUAGCAUCUCAUCUAUGAAAGGUAAAGGAAAAUGAUCCUUUCUUGUGGCUUUGUUUAGUUUUCUAUAGUCUAUGCACAUCCGCCAUCUUGUGACGGUGCGUUGCGGAAUUAGCUCGUCCUUUUCAUUCAUAAUGACAGUCAUGCCUCCCUUUUUAGGCACAACUUGGACUGGGCUCACCCACUCACUUUACGGCACAGGAUAUAUAAUCCCUGCAUGCAGCAACUUAUAACUUCCUUUUUAACUACCUCUCUCAUCGUGUUGUUAAGUCUACGUUGGGGCUCUCGAGAAGGUGAAAUAGAAGGAUCUGUCGGAACACUAUGGGUACAAAUCAUAGGACUGAUUCCUGUAAGAUCUUGGAGUGAGUAGCCGAAAACUGAGUGAUGUUUCUCAAGAAUGGUCAUUAAUCGCAGAGUUUGCUCCUAAGUGAGUUUAUCACUAAUGAUCAUAGGAAACUCUGGAUUAUUGUUUAGGAAAGCAUAGAUAAGACCGGGUGGUAAAGUUUUAAGCUCUCUGGGGGGUCUAGGUGUUUCUGCAAACUCGUCUAAGGGUUCAGGUUCAGAAGGUUCAGCUUCUUCUUCUGUGAAGAAAGGAGUUUCGUCUUCUAAGUCUGGUUCGUCUAAAUGCUCUAGAGAUGCAGCCUUUACCUCCUCCAUAGGAUCAGGUAAAAGAUAUGACUCGGCCUUAUUAUUUAAGGAGUGUGAAAUCGUUAUGGGAAUUUUAAAGGUUUUUCCAAAAGAAAUGUGUAGCUUUCCAGUAUGACCUUCAUAAAGGAGUCUUCUAAAAGGUUGUCCUAUCAACAGGUCGAAGUCCUAUGUAUCAAAGAUAUAGAAGUUCAAAUGAACCAUGGAGCCUUCUACCGUAAGAGGUAGGACAUUAAUAAUUCCAAGACUAGGGACCAAUCAUCUCGAAGAUUCCUUUAUGACUUUUGUUGUGGGGGUUAAAACCAAAUUUUUAAAUAGUUUAAGUGCAAAAGAUUCAGACAUGAUGUUGAUCCCCACAACAGGAUUAUAGAGAGCAUCAAAUCGAUCAGAAUCAUAAGCACAGCGUAUAGUUAUAGAGGGUGUGUCCAAACGGAUCACAUCAGAGGAAAGCUCUGAUUCCUCCAACAACUUGCUACUCAUGACUGAGAUAAGCUCUCUCAAUCGAUGUUCAGUUGGCAAACAAAUGCUAAAAUGGCCGUUUUGGGGUCUGUUAAUAAAAUGGUAGUUUGAAAUGUUUCCAAAAUCGGCAAAAAGAUCAGAUUCUAUAUCCAGCAUGAAGUCCGGUGGUGGAAUUUCUUCCUUUUGUGGCUCAGAACUUAGGAUAGCUAAAGUAGAUGGAGAAUUUGGCAGAGUGUCUACUUUGGCUUCGCGGGUAUCAUCAUGAAGAGUAUUAUCCAUCUCACCUUCUAGGAUUCUAUCUAGGAUCACUCUAGCAUCAUCAGUAGGGAAGCGAAAGAAAGAACCUCUAGACAUUGUAUGUAGUAUUUGUUUAUGAUCUUUCUGAAGACCUCGAAAAAAAUGAAAUAAAAGAACAAGGUCUUCAAGAUUAAGGUUUGAACCAGAUUCUAAAAGAUCAAAAAAAUGUUUCCAGGAUUUUCCCAAAGUUUCAUUAUCUUUUUGUUUAAAAGAUAGGACUUCGAGUCUAAGGUCGCUGAUACGGUCGAGGGAAUAAAAACCUAGACAAAAGUUGGCUCGUAAAACUCCCCAUUCACCUCAUUGUUGACUUACCUUCUAACUGUACCAUUGUCUAGCUUCUCCCCUUAAAGAAAAAGGGAAAAGCUUCCAACGUAAAGUUUUAUCAGAAAUGCCUUCAAUGCGAAGACAAUCACAUGUUUGCUCAAAAUCUGUAAUAUGAAGGUAAGGGUUUUCGUCUUCCUUUCCUGAAAAAGAUAGGUUUUGAACCAUGGCAAUCAACCUAGAACUUAACCUAUACUGGGAUGUUUGGAUAGGCUGUGAUGACUCCCAUGGUAAAAGGUCAGUUACCGAAGGUGUUGCAAAUUGAUAGAUUCAUUUAGAAUCUUGGUCUUCCAUAAGGUAAGAAUAAAGAAAAUAAAUAAAGAAUAUAAAAGAUAAGAAAAGAUAAAAGUAUAGAUACAAGCUAGUAGUAAGACUCAAGGUUAUCUCAGCAAACUGUCUUUCUCCCCGGCAACGGCGCCAAAAAUGCUUGUUGAUAUUUGGGAACGCAAUAAGGAAUUGAUCCGCAAGCGCACGGAUAUCGGUGAGCAUUUCACCCAGGAGGUUAUCCAGAGUAUCGUAUUUAUAUUUUUACCACUAGGAGAAAGAGUGCAUCUAACUAACCCAGUCUAUUACUACUAACCUUUAGGCUACAAAGAAUGUUUCUCGAUGUGAGUGAUAAAUAGAGAAGACUACAACCGUAAUCUCUUUCUAACCUUGGUAAGGAUGAUCUACUAUUCUAUUGGGGAAGCUUACGGAAUCUAGACACCAUAGAGGAUGCUCAACCCGCACCUAUAAACCCUAUCCUUCCUGCUAACGAGAUAUGGUUUGCAAAGGUAACUCGGAAAUGUCACAUUCCUCGCUACUACCACGGUCCAGCUAGUCAGAGAAUAUCUAUGAGUAUUCUAGCCCAAACACCACGUCUACGCUAGAGAUGAUUACUCUAAACUCUACGCGAAAAGAUCAAAGUAAAAUCAUAAACCAAAGAACAAUAAAACAAGAACUUACUAGAAUUUAGAAGUCGAAAUACUGAAGAAUCCUAGGAGCAAGCUUCGGGUUAGGAGAACUUGAUCCCGCAGGUACAACCUCGGAGUAGACACCGACAGGCCGGGCUUCCUCCGAUCUACACCUCCACUCUAUCUCUCUCAAUCUAGUAGAAACUAGAAGAUCUAAUUCUACUCACAUUGGAUGCUAAGCCCUAAGUCUAUUUAGAGGAGAGGUUAUCCUUUGAGGGCUCCUCUCAACUCUAUGAUGAACUUGUUCUCCUCCAGGGGCCAGAGGGUCUGCUUAUAUAGUCCCCUCAGGUAAACAUGGGCCGUCGGAUCAAACCGACAUUGAUUGAACGGUUAUCCUUGAUCCUUUAGGUCGGUGGAGCGUGAUCCACGAAGAGAGUCCUGAUUGGACUCCAAAGGGGGGCGGGCGCCCUGGUCCCUAGGGCGGGCGCCCUGGGCCAGGCCCCGUUCGGCCUCCGCUUCGUUCCCGUGGCUUCUCGAGUCUUCUAGAUGGUAGAAAAUUGCGCGGUGCGUUAAUAUCUCUAUGUAAUCCCGACAUGUGGGCCUUUCUUCCUUAUUUCCUGAUAACCCCCUGUAGAAACAGAUAGACAACAAAACAUGUGGAAUUCUGUCAGAUCGAACCCUAAUUCUAGGUGUUGUUUGCAUAUUGGUCCUUUCCCUUGUUUAUUUGAUAAUUAAAAUUGAUACUUAAGAACCGUCAACAAAUACCCCCAUACUUAGGCUUUUACUCGUCCUCGAGAAAAGGAUGGUUAAAAAAAUAUGUGGGGUUAAAACAUUGUAAAGCAUUUUCUUCAUACGUGCAGGGUGUUGUAAAAAUUCACUGUGUACCGUAGUCAGGGAAAUAUUUGGUUAAGAAUAGAGGUCCUUUCUUCUCAAUCCUUUUACUUGGAGUUUUUGUAUAUAUAUAUUUUUUGAAAAUUUAGCAUACCUUUAUCCUCAUAGGUUCUUAGGUCACUCAUUUUCUUUUAUAUAUCUCACUGAGGCCGUUUUAAUUUGCAAAAAUUCUUAAGCAUACUUACCUUGCAUUUAUUGCCUGAUCAAAACGGGAUCCGUGGAGAAGAAUGUCAUAAUCUUAGAUCAAAGAUUUUGAAAAUUAAAAACUUGUCAACUCUUACUAGCAUAUUGCUUAUUAGAGGGACCAUGGGCUAUCAUUUUCUUUCUUUUUUUUCUUUUUUUCAGGUGGAUACCGAGGUACCCCUAAUUCUACUGUCGGACACUUGUCCAUUUUUUCUGCGAGGUUAUCGAGCACUUGCUCCUUUUUAUUUCCUCCAAAUAUUCAUAUUUUUGCAUAGCCCAUGCCUCUAAUGCAAUAAUACUUCGGAAGAGUGCAUCUUUCUGAAUAAAAUGUCUUGAUCUUAGAAGCAUGAUAAAUCUCUCAACAAGGGUCUAACUCAUUUUGAACAAACUCAAUACAGAGUAGAUAGCUUUUCUAAUUAUUAUUUUAAUAUUUUCAAGUCUAUUAGGUAUAUAAAACACUGAGGAUGGUAGCUAGAAUUUUUGAAGAUAAAUUCUCCAAACAACAUUGAUAUCAAGAAUAAGGUACUCAUACGCUACUUACAUUCCACAAUGACUUAAGUAACACAGGGUUUUUUUAAAUGAUUAGAUUUUUAGGAAAUAUCACAGAGUGAGAUUAAUCAUGAUUAGAAACAUUUUAAUCUUUUUAAUUUAUCAUGUCGGAAACAAUAUUCUGCAUAAUCCAAGAUAUAUGUGUAUGUGUAAAGUGUGCAGAGUAUGUACCUGAAUCGUGGAGUGGUAUAGUCGGAGUGUGUUUGGCAUGUCGAGGGAUCACCCCCAUACUUGUUUUCUGCUUUCUUGCACAAAAAUAAAGUAGAGACACACAAGACAUAAUAAUAAUAAUAUUACUCUUUAUUAAUCUUGAGGCAUUUAUUACAAAUGACUAGUAGUAAACUGAUGAUAAUAGUAAAUCUAAACCGAAUUUAAAGAUAAAUAACUAAGAUGCAUUGCCUCAAGAUCUAAUCUAGAUAACUCAGCGGCGCUCUAACUCCUUGAUCUUCUUGUUGGCACUAGCAAGAUCAUGCCUAAGGCCUAGUAUAAUGGUGUCGUGGUUAGAGAGGUGCCUAGUGAUAGAAUUAACCGAGGACUGGAGGUCUAUGAUGACUCUGUCUAGCCUACGAACGUCCUCAUCAAUAUCUACUAUAGUCUUGCGACGCUUAGGAGGUGUUUCAUCUGCAUUGAGAGCAUGCUUCGGGGCUGUCUUUGGAGGGAUGAAACGGACUUUGGCUGCUCUAAUCCCCUCAAAGUAAGGCCUCUCCUCCACUGUAGUGUAGUGGAUGCUGCUGAUCUCGCCGCUCCGGUUGGUCUUGACUCCAACGACCCUCUCAUUGGGUCUGGGUGUUAGGAUCCUAGUGCCGGCUGGUACCUUGACAGUGGUCUCCUUCUUUGCUGACGGUCCCUUGAGAAGUAGAGGCUGCAGCGGUGCGGUGAGAACUGGUUGAGCAUGGUAGGAUUGGGUGGAGCUACGUUGGUGUAAUGGCAUGGCUUCUAGCUAUCGCUCUGUGUUGGCCAGGACGAGAGCACGGGCGUCGGGGUCUUCCUUAGGCUUGUUGUUGAGGUCGUAGGGAACGACUUCCCAAUCGUCGUGGAACUCUUCGGCCAUUGGAGCAGCGAGGAACUAAGCAAGCUCUAAUUGAAGAAGAAGAGAAGGCUUGAAUAGAUUGGUGUUUAAAAACUGACGUCAGGGGUCUGUUUAUAUAGGGGUCAAAAAGUGCCUCUAGUUGUUGUUCGGGUUACUCCAGUCGCCGUGUGUGCGAAACUUUCCAUCUGAAGGAUUAUUUGGUUUACCUGAAAUGUGUUUUCCGCGACGGGGGAAAUCGGGACCGAGAGGGGUCAGGGGCUGGGCGCCCGCCUAUGUCUGGCCCCUCUGUGGGCCCGCUUCCUCGAGCGUGUUUCGAGAUGCAAAACUUAUUAGGAAAAUGUAUGUAUGACACAAAAACGCCAGAUUAAAAAGGUUAGGCUCUAAAUCUCCAUGGGAAGGUAAAAAUGGAUUAUGUCUAUUUCUUCUAAUUCUUUAUUGG